rnacentral:rRNA from 1 species
UACGAAGGGGGCUAGCGUUGUUCGGAAUUACUGGGCGUAAAGCGCGUGUAGGCGGGUCCUUAAGUCAGGGGUGAAAUGCCGGAGCUCAACUUCGGUACUGCCUUUGAUACUGGGGAUCUUGAGUCCGGGAGAGGUGAGUGGAACUGCGAGUGUAGAGGUGAAAUUCGUAGAUAUUCGCAAGAACACCAGUGGCGAAGGCGGCUCACUGGCCCGGAACUGACGCUGAGACGCGAAAGCGUGGGGAG